UACGAAGGGUGCAAGCGUUACUCGGAAUUACUGGGCGUAAAGCGUGCGUAGGUGGUUCGUUAAGUCUGAUGUGAAAGCCCUGGCUCAACCUGGGAAUGGCAUUGGAUACUGGCGAUCUAGAGUGCGGUAGAGGGCAGUGGAAUUCCCGGUGUAGCAGUGAAAUGCGUAGAGAUCGGGAGGAACAUCUGUGGCGAAGGCGACUGCCUGGACCAGCACUGACACUGAGGCACGAAAGCGUGGGGAGCAAAGCAGG
rnacentral:rRNA from 1 species